AGGAUAAACGCUGGUGGCGUGCCUAACGACAUGCAAGUCGAACGUCCUUUCCCGCAAGGGAGAGGGAGUGGCGGACGGGUGAGGAACACGUGGAUAUCUACCUCCGGGUGGGGAAUACCGUCGGGAAACCGACGACAAGACCGCAUAGCCUUGGCAACAAGGAAAGCUUUGCCGUAAGGCAAGGCGCCGGGAGAUGAGUCUGCGUCCGAUUAGUUUGUCGGUGGGGUAAUGGCCUACCGAGGCGACGAUCGGUAGCUGGUCUGAGAGGACGAUCAGCCACACUGGGAUUGAGAACGGCCCAGACUCCUACGGGGGGCAGCAGUGAGGAAUUUUCCGCAAUGGACGAAAGUCUGACGGAGCAACGCCGCGUGCAGGAUGAAGGUCUUCGGAUCGUAAACUGCUUUUCUCAGGGACGAGCAAGGACGGUACCUGAGGAAGAAGCCCCGGCUAACUACGUGCCAGCAGCCGC
rnacentral:rRNA from 1 species